CAGGGGAAGGUUCUCACAUGGAGAUCCCUCCUUAUGGAGCAUUUGGUGAGCCAUGGUCCUCGGGGCAGACCACGUUCAGUGCAUUGAGAUGAUUCCAAAUGCUCACUUCUCCCACCUGCAUCACUCCCCACCGCUGUUCCCUGACAAAGAGCCACUGGGCCAAGCCCCAUCCAACCCUGAGCAUCAAUGGGGUGAAAGCCAUCAGUGCCUGUGGAAAUCUGGAUCAUGAGGGCAGCCACUCUCUGGGCUACUACUGGCCCAAAGUUCUCCACCUCUGCCUGUUUUCAAAGACUUUCACAAGCAAUGGAACCUGGCCCUGUAGCAGACCUGUACCUGGUGGAUGUGCAUCGCUACUGGCUUUCAUGUCCUUGCUCUUUUCCAGCUGUAAUCAUUCUCAGAUUCUAUGAGCUGAACAUGGAAGAUUUAAGGUGUUGGGCCAUAGGAGACCCUGCUCUCCUCUUUGCUGCAGUCCCAGGUUUUUCCUGCCAGAAGACUUUCUCUCUCCCACAUCCAGCAGGCUCAGCCUUCUUUGCCCUCCCCAGAGCCUCAGUGAAGACAUCUCUAUGGAGAUGCUCCUCUGGGGCAGCCAGCCAGCUGUGGAGCAAGAUGGGAAUAUCUUGGGUGUCUUGGUUGAAUUUGCAUGCUCUUAUUGCCAAGCUUGACAAAGAGCAAGGGCAGCCCUAAACCUGUCAAAUCACAGUGAGAAUGUAGGGCAGUGAAAGGCAAGUGGCUCUUGAAGUGCUCGGACCUUCCUUGUCCUUGUGCCUCUAGGGAACCACCUCUUCUCCAGCACCUCUUUGGAG